rnacentral:rRNA from 1 species
GACGAACGCUGGCGGCGUGCCUAAUACAUGCAAGUCGACCUUAGUGGCGGACGGGUGAGUAACACGUGGGUAACCUACCCAUCAGAGGGGGAUAACACUUGGAAACGGGGUCUAAUACCGAAUAAAGGGGGAUGGGCUCGCGGCCUAUCAGGUUGUUGGUGGGGUGAUGGCCUACCAAGGCGGUGACGGGUCGCCGGCCUGAGAGGGUGACCGGCCACAGUGGGACUGAGAUACGGCCCAGACUCCUACGGGAGGCAGCAGUAGGGAAUCUUCGGCAAUGGGGGGAACCCUGACCGAGCAACGCCGCGUGAGUGAAGAAGGUUUUCGGAUCGUAAAGCUCUGUUGUUAAGGAAGCGGUACUUAACCAGAAAGGGACGGCUAACUACGUGCCAGCAGCCGCGGUAAUAC